CCUACGGGCGGCAGCAGUCGGGAAUAUUGCGCAAUGGAGGAAACUCUGACGCAGUGACGCCGCGUAUAGGAAGAAGGCUUUCGGGUUGUAAACUUCUUUUCUCAGGGACGAAGAAAGUGACGGUACCUGAGGAAUAAGCCACGGCUAACUACGUGCCAGCAGCCGCGGUAAUACGUAGGUGGCAAGCGUUAUCCGGAUUUACUGGGUGUAAAGGGCGUGUAGGCGGGGAAGCAAGUCAGAUGUGAAAACCACGGGCUCAACCUGUGGCCUGCAUUUGAAACUGUUUUUCUUGAGUACUGGAGAGGCAGACGGAAUUCCUAGUGUAGCGGUGAAAUGCGUAGAUAUUAGGAGGAACACCAGUGGCGAAGGCGGUCUGCUGGACAGCAACUGACGCUGAGGCGCGAAAGCGUGGGGAGCAAACAGGAUUAGAUACCCGUGUAGUC
rnacentral:rRNA from 1 species